rnacentral:tRNA from 1 species
GGAGAGGUCGCAUAGUUGGUCUAGUGCGGCGGUCUUGAAAACCGCUAGGGCUGCAAGGUCCUCGUGGGUUCGAAUCCCACCCUCUCCG